UAGACACACCCCCCUCCAUUUACCCUCGCCUUUUGCCCUUGGGGGAAUCCCCGAGGCCGUCUUUGCUGUCCAAACAAUUAGCAAAGCAAGGUAAAUUAGCAACGUAAGACCCUUAGCCCUCGUUUGUGAUCAUACAACUCCAUUCCCUCUGGACGCUGAAACGCCCCAUAAUUCAAUUCGCGAUGAUUUCUUAACGGAUGUACAAAGUCAGCCAAAAUGUAAAACCAACAUCAAUAUGGAGAAGUCAACAUACAGGUAUUCCCAGUAAAACCGCUGUCUCGUGAGCCACAAUGUGCGCUGCUGACCCUGAUGGCCAGCAUCAUCAUGAACUUCCUUCAACACAAGGCCUCUCAAAGACACAGUUCCUUCUGUGAUUUCAGUUGCUGUGGAGACUUCCCGUGGUUGCUGAGGGGCAGGAGAGCAUCUUGGCCACAUGCACAGCGGCUACCGCCAAGCCCCCCGCUGAGGUACAAUGGAGCACGGCUAGUGCAAGACAACCACUGAGUCUGACAACCUCAACCAACACUACACUGAACCCAGACGACACCGCCACGGUGAGGGUCCACCUGAAGGGAGAGCCCUCCAGAGUCAUACAGCAACAGGAGGUUCAGUGCCUGGUGAACCACACCACUCUGAGCCAGCAGAAAGCUGACCCCUACCAGCUAGAUGUACACUGCUUUACACAUGCUUCCCACCCCUUGGCUGCAACCCUUCUAAUUUAGUGUACCCUGCGAGCACAACCCAUGUGGAUUUCCUGGUCUCUUGCAAUGUUUGGUUGGAACUGCUGAUCUGCAGUCAAGAACGCAGAGUUCAUCUCACUCUAUGCUGCCCUUCAGUCCCUAGACUUUCUGCCCCCAGACGGAGACAUGGAUCACCCAGCUGCUCUCUUUUCAUUUGACUACUUUAUUGAGAAAAAAAUGUGCUACCGUGACUGAGAUAUGUGGUUGUCCACUUAGCUUUCUUAAGAUGAAUGCACUAACUGUUAUUUGAUCUGGAUAAGAGCGUCUGCUAAAUGACUAAAAUGUAAAUGUAAUACUGUAGGUAUAAACACACAUUUGAUAUAAAACAAAUAUCAGCAGAGAAGAAUAAUUCAAAUCCAACAUUUUCUCUAUUUCUGUUCAUUUGUAAAAAGAAUUCUGGCAUAGUUGUGCACAUGCAAGAUCCCUUUGGAGAUGUUUGGUUCUAUGCACUGUAAUUAUCAUCAAUUAUGCCCUCUAAACUUGGAAGAACACAUAAUGCCUUCCAGUCCAGGGGAGGGGGCGAGUAAUUCUUAUUAUCGUCUUGUCAGAGCGAGGCGAAAUGCUUACAUUGUGGCGCGUGUCAGACACCACUUUAGGAGCAAGGGGGCCAUGGGAGAAUAAAAAGGAAUCUCUGUACUUGCCCUGAGUGACAGCGCUGCAUUAAUGUGACAGGUCAUCGUGCUGGCCGGGCCCGCCCCACAGUCCAAGAGUCCUGCAACAAGGUGCCUUUCAUUGGUGGUGCCACCGUAAUGAGUGACUGACUGACUACUGCCACAAUUAUGAGCUCAAGGCUGGAAGUUCUGGGGCAAAUCAAAAGAAAGUUACACUCUCAGUAGGUAUGACUCACGGCGAGUGAUACAAAGUCAUUGUAUUUUUGACCUGUUUGAAUGGGAAAGCCUGUACUGUUGACUAGUGCUAAUGAGCAUCUGGUACUGCACUGUAAUUUGUUGGGAUUAUUUGGCAAAUACUGUACAUCUGAUGUUUGUUCACCCCUUAGAGAUAAGAAAAGGGUAGUCUCAAAGACGAUUUCCAAAAACAUUUGUCUGCAUAGCUCUGAUAAUGCAUUUUUCUUACAAACGCUGUGGGAACUUCGUGUAAACAUCCCUCAAAAUAGGACUGAGGAGACAAACAACACACAUUUAUUUGUUCUCAUUUGUCAAGGAUGGCUGACUCCUGGGGUGAGAUGCAUCUGACUUUUAUAGAGCCUGGAAAACAGUCUAUUCCUGUCUUGAGUAGUCUCUAGCUAAUGAUGGAACUGGCUAAGCCAGGAGUUUGGACUCGGUAGCGAAUCACACUGCUGCAUGUUCUCAUAGGGUAACUUAAGUCUUUUGUACUUCCUGAAGUUGUACCCCUGGGCAGUAAGUUGUUUGUAAUGGUAUAGAGGAUAUGCUAACAGUGAUAUAGUAUUACAAAAAUAUGUGGGUAAACUGAUUCACCAGUUGCAGUGAAAAAGUAACACUACCUAUACUUCCAAAACAUUUUUCCACAAAAGGUUCCACAAAUGAAAGUGGGCAAGCUGCGUUUACCCUCCACUACACCAAGGUAGCAGGAGGUAACGUUGUCGGAGGAGAAGUGCCAAAAAGAGCCAAGUUAAUCAUAGAUAUAUAACACAUAGUUACAGUGGGGCAAAACGUAUUUAGUCAGCCACCAAUUGUGCAAGUUCUCCCACUUAAA